rnacentral:rRNA from 1 species
CUGGUAGUCCACGCCGUAAACGGUGGGCACUAGUUGUGGGAACCUUCCACGGUUUCUGCGACGCAGCUAACGCAUUAAGUGCCCCGCCUGGGGAGUACGAUCGCAAGAUUAAAACUCAAAGGAAUUGACGGGGCCCCGCACAAGCAGCGGAGCAUGCGGCUUAAUUCGACGCAACGCGAAGAACCUUACCAAGGCUUGACAUAUACCGGAAUGUGGCAGAGAUGUCACAGCUGUAAAAGGUGGGUAUACAGGUGGUGCAUGGUUGUCGUCAGCUCGUGUCGUGAGAUGUUGGGUUAAGUCCCGCAACGAGCGCAACCCUCGUUCUGUGUUGCCAGCAUUUAGUUGGGGACUCACAGGAGACUGCCGGGGUCAACUCGGAGGAAGGUGGGGAUGACGUCAAAUCAUCAUGCCCCUUAUGUCUUGGGCUGCACGCAUGCUACAAUGGCUGGUACAAAGGGCUGCAAUACCGCAAGGUGGAGCGAAUCCCAAAAAGCCAGUCUCAGUUCGGAUUGGGGUCUGCAACUCGACCCCAUGAAGUCGGAGUUGCUAGUAAUCGCAGAUCAGCAACGCUGCGGUGAAUACGUUCCCGGGGCUUGUACACACCGCCCGUCACGUCACGAAAGUCGGUAACACCCGAAGUCAGUGGCCCAACCGCAAGGGGG